rnacentral:rRNA from 1 species
AGUGAACGCUGGCGGUAGGCCUAACACAUGCGAGUCGAACGGCAGCACAGUAAGAGCUUGCUCUUACGGGUGGCGAGUGGCGGACGGGUGAGGAAUACAUCGGAAUCUACUUUUUCGUGGGGGAUAACGUAGGGAAACUUACGCUAAUACCGCAUACGACCUACGGGUGAAAGCAGGGGAUCUUCGGACCUUGCGCGAUUGAAUGAGCCGAUGUCGGAUUAGCUAGUUGGCGGGGUAAAGGCCCACCAAGGCGACGAUCCGUAGCUGGUCUGAGAGGAUGAUCAGCCACACUGGAACUGAGACACGGUCCAGACUCCUACGGGAGGCAGAAGUGGGGAAUAUUGGACAAUGGGCGCAAGCCUGAUCCAGCCAUACCGCGUGGGUGAAGAAGGCCUUCGGGUUGUAAAGCCCUUUUGUUGGGAAAGAAAAGCAGCAGGUUAAUACCCCGCUGUUCUGACGGUACCCAAAGAAUAAGCACCGGCUAACUUCGU